UACGUAGGGUGCGAGCGUUAAUCGGAAUUACUGGGCGUAAAGCGUACGCAGGCGGCUUUGCAAGACAGGUGUGAAAUCCCCGGGCCUAACCUGGGGACUGCAUUUGUGACUGCAUGGCUAGAGUUUGUCAGAGGGGGGUGGAAUUCCACGUGUAGCAGUGAAAUGCGUAGAUAUGUGGAGGAACACCGAUGGCGAAGGCAGCCCCCUGGGAUGUGACUGACGCUCAUGUACGAAAGCGUGGGGAGCAAACAGG
rnacentral:rRNA from 1 species